GACGAACGCUGGCGGCGUGCUUAACACAUGCAAGUCGAACGGUAAGGCCCUUCGGGGUACACGAGUGGCGAACGGGUGAGUAACACGUGGGUGAUCUGCCCUGCACUUCGGGAUAAGCCUGGGAAACUGGGUCUAAUACCGGAUAGGACUCCGGACUGCAUGGUCUGGGGUGGAAAGCUUUUGCGGUGUGGGAUGGGCCCGCGGCCUAUCAGCUUGUUGGUGGGGUGAUGGCCUACCAAGGCGACGACGGGCAGCCGGCCUGAGAGGGUGACCGGCCGCACUGGGACUGAGAUAAGGCCCAGGCUCCUACGGGAGGCAGCAGUGGGGAAUAAUGCACAAUGGGCGCAAGCCUGAUGCAGCGACGCCGCGUGAGGGACGACGGCCUUCGGCUUGUAAACCUCUUUCAGCAUCGACGAAGCGAAAGUGACGGGAGGUGCAGAAGAAGGACCGGCCAACUACGUGCCAGCCGCCGCCGUAA
rnacentral:rRNA from 1 species